rnacentral:rRNA from 1 species
UGUGUGAUGGGGAGCGAAAUUUAGUAGCGAAGUUCCUGAUGUCACACUGCCAAGAAAAGCUUCUAGUGAGAAAGUAACUGCCCGUACCGCAAACCGACACAGGUAGUUGAGGAGAGAAUCCUAAGGUGUGCGAGAGAACUCUCGUUAAGGAACUCGGCAAAAUGGCCCCGUAACUUCGGGAGAAGGGGUGCUGACCGCAAGGUCAGCCGCAGUGAAUAGGCCCAAGCGACUGUUUAUCAAAAACACAGGUCUCUGCAAAAUCGAAAGAUGACGUAUAGGGGCUGACGCCUGCCCGGUGCUGGAAGGUUAAGAGGAGAGGUUAGCGCAAGCGAAGCUUUGAAUUGAAGCCCCAGUAAACGGCGGCCGUAACAAUAACGGUCCUAAGGUAGCGAAAUUCCUUGUCGGGUAAGUUCCGACCCGCACGAAAGGCGUAACGAUUUGGGCACUGUCUCAACGAGAGACUCGGUGAAAUUAUAGUACCAGUGAAGAUGCUGGUUACCCGCGACAGGACGGAAAGACCCCAUGGAGCUUUACUGCAGUUUGAUAUUGCGUGUUUGUAUCACAUGUACAGGAUAGGUAGGAGCCGAAGAUACCGGGACGCCAGUCUCGGAGGAGGCAACGGUGGGAUACUACCCUUGUGAUAUGACCACUCUAACCCGCUGCUCUUAGCGAGCAGGGAGACAGUGUCAGACGGGCAGUUUGACUGGGGCGGUCGCCUCCAAAAAUGUAACGGAGGCGCCCAAAGGUUCCCUCAGAAUGGUUGGAAAUCAUUCGUAGAGUGUAAAGGCAGAAGGGAGCUUGACUGCGAGACCUACAAGUCGAGCAGGGACGAAAGUCGGGCUUAGUGGUCCGGUGGUUCCGCAUGGAAGGGCCAUCGCUCAACGGAUAAAAGCUACCCUGGGGAUAACAGGCUUAUCUCCCCCAAGAGUUCACAUCGACGGGGAGGUUUGGCACCUCGAUGUCGGCUCAUCGCAUCCUGGGGCUGUAGUCGGUCCCAAGGGUUGGGCUGUUCGCCCAUUAAAGCGGUACGCGAGCUGGGUUCAGAACGUCGUGAGACAGUUCGGUCCCUAUCCGUCGCGGGCGUUGGAAAUUUGAGAGGAGCUGUCCUUAGUACGAGAGGACCGGGAUGGACACACCGCUGGUGUACCAGUUGUUCUGCCAAGAGCAUCGCUGGGUAGCUAUGUGUGGACGGGAUAAACGCUGAAAGCAUCUAAGCGUGAAGCCCCCUUCAAGAUGAGAUUUCCCAUCACUUUAAGUGAGUAAGACCCCUGAGAGAUGAUCAGGUAGAUAGGUUGGGAGUGGAAGUACAGCGAUGUAUGGAGCGGACCAAUACUAAUCGGUCGAGGACUUAACCAA